rfam:Gregarina niphandrodes unplaced genomic scaffold scaffold00117, whole genome shotgun sequence.
GGCUGUAUGAUCUAGUGGCAUGAUUCUUCCUUGGGAUAGAAGAAGUCCUGGGCUCGAUUCCCAGAACAGCCC